ACCAAGCAAACCGGAACGUCUUAUCCGUUCGUCCUCCUUCCACAACCAUCCACCCUAGCCUCCUCGCCCCCAUCCACGCCUCUGCUUCCGUGCACGCAUCAUCAUCACCCUCCCCUCCCCAUCCCCAAUCUCACCCCCACCGACAGUGGCGUCGGCACGUCGUCCUCACAGCCGCCGAUCCCGGCGUCCACGCUACUACCGCCCCGUCCUUCCACACGCCAUUUCCCCCAAAUUCGAGCUCGAGGAGCCGUCUCCACACACACCGACCGCACGGCACCUCCUGACUCUUCGCCUUGCCUGGCCGAUCGAGCCCUAGCCCUAGGCAUGCCACUCGCCGCCGCACAAGAGGGGGAGGAGGCGUCAAGAUGAGGGUUCGGUCGAGCUCCAAGCGGCGGCAGUCGGAGUCGCUGGAACCGGAACCAACCGCUGUGCGCCGCUACAGCAGCAAGCGGGGCAAGAGGGCGAGCUCUACCAUUGCUGCUGCAGUGCCCAUGAUCACAACCCGUUCAAUGGCGGCGAGCUCGUGUCUGCGGUCCAAAAGGAGUGCUGAUGCAGCCAUGAAGGAGCAGCUAAGAAAAAGGAAUAGGGUAGCUGAUUAAGUGGAUUAGCAUCCAUAUUGAUUGUGCGUAAUGCAGGAAGAUGCAGCAGUGAGCAGGCCUAACAGAGGAACCUGAGCUUCAGACUACCAACAUAGUCCGAGCAGUCAGAGUGAAGAUCUCUGCAGAGCUAGAGGAAGAGAUGUUGGCCAAGAUCCCCAAGUUCAGGGCACAACCAUUUAACAAAAAGAUUGCUGAAGCUCCUGCAUUCCCUCCGCUUCCACAGAAAACUCCACAGAUUCUCAAAUUCAAUGUGCGUUUGCUAUCAUCAUGACAAAUUAUCAAGUAACAAACAGUUAAUUAAUCAAUUAUACCUUUCAACACAUGGAGAGAGCAACUCAACACAUGGACACCUGCUGAGAAGCUUCUUCUGUGGACACUAUCCAGAAUCAGAAAAAGCCGCCGAAAUUGACAAAACCAAAACCACCACAGCUUCACACAGCGAUGCAAGCUCGGCCGCCAAGGUUUGUCAUUGCCAUCUAUCACAUCCUACUACAUCUGGAGUCUCUUGUCACCUAAUCAGUUUAGUCAUCUCAUUAGC